rnacentral:rRNA from 1 species
AACGAACGCUGGCAGCAGGCUUAACACAUGCAAGUCGAGCGCCCCGCAAGGGGAGCGGCAGACGGGUGAGUAACGCGUGGGAACGUACCCUUUGCUACGGAAUAGCUCCGGGAAACUGGAAUUAAUACCGUAUGUGCCCUACGGGGGAAAGAUCUAUCGGCAAAGGAUCGGCCCGCGUUGGAUUAGCUAGUUGGUGGGGUAAUGGGCUACCAAGGCGACGAUCCAUAGCUGGUCUGAGAGGAUGAUCAGCCACAUUGGGACUGAGACACGGCCCAAACUCCUACGGGAGGCAGCAGUGGGGAAUAUUGGACAAUGGGCGCAAGCCUGAUCCAGCCAUGCCGCGUGAGUGAUGAAGGCCUUAGGGUUGUAAAGCUCUUUCACCGGAGAAGAUAAUGACGGUAUCCGGAGAAGAAGCCCCGGCUAACUUCGUGCCAGCAGCCGCGGUAAAAC